rnacentral:rRNA from 1 species
UACGUAGGGGGCAAGCGUUGUCCGGAGUUACUGGCGUAAAGCGCACGCAGGCGGUCUCUUAAGUUUGGAGUGACAGUUGGUGGCUUAACUGCCAAAGUGCUUCGAAAACUGAGAGACUUGAGGGCUUCAGAGGGACACGGAAUUCCGGGUGGAGUGGUGAAAUGCGUAGAGAUCCGGAGGAACACCAAAGGCGAAGGCAGUGUCCUGGGGAGUACCUGACGCUCGAGGU